rnacentral:lncRNA from 1 species
UGAUAAGAAGGGUUUUUUCUGCAUUUAGAUCCUUGACAAAUUUUUAUUUUAAAAAUAGUUCUGUCAAAAUUUAAUUUGUAAAAAUCGCCCUGAGCCUGCCACGCAGGCGUCACGUCAGCGCCACACGGACAGAGCUGGGCCCGUGUGUUAAGUUGAAUACGGUGAACCAUUCACCGUGUUCAAACACGGUGAAUGGUUCACCGUGUUUAGUACGUAUUUUUUGUAUAUUAAGAAGUGGAAUAAGGAGUAGGAAUGUCUAUAGGUAUAGAUAUUCGAAAUAUUAUCCGAAUUCAAACCCGAAUAAAUUAUAUAUAUAUAUAUAUACAUAAUUUAUUUUUAUUUAUUUAUACAAUAUAUAAAAUAUUUAAUAAUUUUUAUUUNNNNNNNNNNNNNNUCUAAGAAAUAAAAAUUAUUAAAUAUUUUAUAUAUUGUAUAAAUAAAUAAAAAUAAAUUAUAUAUAUAUAUAUAUAUAUAAAAUUUAUUCGGGUUUGGAUUCGGAUAAUAUUUCGGGUAUCCAUACCUAUUGAUAUCCCUACUCCUUAUUCCACUUUUCAAUAUACAAAAAAUACGUAAGAAACACGGUGAACCUGUUUAGACACGAUGAAUGAUUCACCAUGUUCAACUUAAUACCCUGGCCCCAGCCCUGCCCGCGUGGCGC